rnacentral:rRNA from 1 species
CAAUAGCGUAUAUUAACGUUGUUGCAGUUAAAAAGCUCGUAGUUGGAUUUCGGUUAAGAGCGACCGGUCCGCCGUUUGGUGUGUACUGGUUGGUUUUAACUUCCUGUAGAGGACGUGCUCUGGGUUUAACGACCUGGACUCGGAGUCUACGUGGUUACUUUGAAAAAAUUAGAGUGUUCAAAGCGGGCUUACGCUUGAAUAUUUCAGCAUGGAAUAACACUAUAGGACUCCUGUCCUAUUUCGUUGGUCUCGGGACGGGAGUAAUGAUUAAGAGGAACAGUUGGGGCAUUCGUAUUUCAUUGUCAGAGGUGAAAUUCUUGGAUUUAUGAAAGACGAACUUCUGCGAAAGCAUUUGCCAAGGAUGUUUUCAUUAA